GGAUCAUUAAAGAGUUAGGGUCUUCUAGGCCCGACCUCCCAACCCUGUGUUUAACAAACCAUUUGUUGCUUCGGCGAGCCCGUCUUUAUUGACCGCCGGAGGACCGUCGAGAGACGCCCUCUGGCCAGUGCCCGCCGACGGCCAACUAUACCUAAACUCUUGAAUAAACAUGCCUAUGUCUAAGUAAUUUAUUAAAUAAAUUAAAACUUUCAACAACGGAUCUCUUGGUUCUGGCAUCGAUGAAGAACGCAGCGAAAUGCGAUAAGUAAUGCGAAUUGCAGAAUUCCAGUGAGUCAUCGAAUCUUUGAACGCACAUUGCGCCCUUUGGUAUUCCGAAGGGCAUGCCUGUUCGAGCGUCAUUAUCACCCCUCAAGCCCCCGGGCUUGGUGUUGGACGGUUUGGUGAAGGCCUCCGGGCGGUCACCCCUCCUAAAGACAAUGACGGCGGCCUGUUGGAACCCCCGGUACAUUGAGCUUCUUAACUGAGCACGUAUCGGAUCAAGGGAACCCAGGCCCCGGUCUUCUCCCUUCAUUGGGAAAAUUUAUCAAGGUUGACCUCGGAUCAGGUAGGAAUACCCGCUGAACUUAAGCAUAUCAAUAAGCGGAGGAAAAGAAACCAACAGGGAUUGCCUCAGUAACGGCGAGUGAAGCGGCAACAGCUCAAAUUUGAAAUCUGGCCUCUUGGGGUCCGAGUUGUAAUUUGUAGAGGAUGUUUCGGGUACCGCUCCGGUUUAAAUUUCUUGGAACAGAAUGUCAAAGAGGGUGAGAAUCCCGUCUUGGACCGGUGGUAGGGCCUAUGUGAAACUCCUUCGACGAGUCGAGUUGUUUGGGAAUGCAGCUCAAAAUGGGUGGUAAAUUUCAUCUAAAGCUAAAUAUUGGCCAGAGACCGAUAGCGCACAAGUAGAGUGAUCGAAAGAUGAAAAGCACUUUGAAAAGAGAGUUAAACAGUAUGUGAAAUUGUUGAAAGGGAAGCGCUGGCAACCAGACUUGCGCGCGGCGGUUCCCCUUCCUUUUGGUUGGGUUACUCCGCCGUGUCCAGGCCAAUAUCGGUUUUGGGGGUCGGUCAAAGGCGCUGGGAAUGUACCUACCCUUCGGGCGUAGACUUAUAGCCCAGCGUGUCAUGCGACCUCCCGGGACCGAGGAACGCGCUUCGGCUCGGAUAUUGGCGUAAUGGUUGUCAGCGACCCGUCUUGAAACACGGACCAAGGAGUCUAACAUCUAUGCGAGUGUUUGGGUGUCAAACCCGGAACGCGUAAUGAAAGUGAACGGAGGUAGGAAGCCUUUGGGCUGCACUAUCGACCGAUCCUGAUGUCUUCGGAUGGAUUUGAGUAAGAGCAUAAAUGUUGGGACCCGAAAGAUGGUGAACUAUGCCUGAAUAGGGUGAAGCCAGAGGAAACUCUGGUGGAGGCUCGCAGCGGUUCUGACGUGCAAAUCGAUCGUCAAAUUUGGGUAUAGGGGCGAAAGACUAAUCGAACCAU
rnacentral:rRNA from 1 species